rnacentral:rRNA from 1 species
UGCGAAGGGGGCUAGCGUUGUUCGGAAUCACUGGGCGUAAAGCGCACGCAGGCGGAUCGUUAAGUCAGGGGUGAAAUGCCGAGGCUCAACCUCGGAACUGCCUUUGAUACUGGCGAUCUUAGAGUCCGGGAGAGGUGAGUGGAACUCCGAGUGUAGAGGUGAAAUUCGUAGAUAUUCGGAAGAACACCAGUGGCGAAGGCGGCUCACUGGCCCGGUACUGACGCUCAGGUGCGAAAGGCGUGGGGAGCAAACAGG